UACGUAGGGUGCAAGCGUUAAUCGGAAUUACUGGGCGUAAAGGGCGCGUAGGCGGCCUGUUAAGUCGAACGUGAAAUCCCCGGGCUCAACCCGGGAACUGCGUCCGAUACUGGCAGGCUUGAAUCCGGGAGAGGGAUGUGGAAUUCCAGGUGUAGCGGUGAAAUGCGUAGAUAUCUGGAGGAACACCGGUGGCGAAGGCGGCAUCCUGGACCGGUAUUGACGCUGAGGCGCGAAAGCCAGGGGAGCAAACGGG
rnacentral:rRNA from 1 species